rnacentral:rRNA from 1 species
CCUACGGGACGCAGCAGUGAGGAAUAUUGGUCAAUGGGCGCAAGCCUGAACCAGCCAAGUCGCGUGAGGGAAGACGGCCCUACGGGUUGUAAACCUCUUUUGCCGGGGAGCAAGCCUGAGCACGUGUGCCCAGGCGGAGAGUACCCGGAGAAAAAGCAUCGGCUAACUCCGUGCCAGCAGCCGCGGUAAUACGUAGGUGGCAAGCGUUGUCCGGAUUUACUGGGUGUAAAGGGCGUGCAGCCGGAGAGACAAGUCAGCUGUGAAAUCCACGGGCUCAACC